rnacentral:lncRNA from 1 species
CGCAGAGUAAGGAGCACAAUAGGACUGUCUGAGAAAGGCCUGGAUUGGAAUACUAAAAACAUGUUGAACACAUACCCCAUGUGCCUCCACAUCCAGAAAACAGGAGACUGCAUGUAGUGGGGGCUGGGGGUUGGAGGUCUCCCAUAUCUGUACUCAUAGCUGAGAAGUAGGACUUUCGAGCUCGGCAUGAAGCAGUUGAUGGUAUUGAUUGGAGUGAGGAGACUUAGCGGGGCUCAUGAUACUAUUACUCAGGCUGUCUGCAUCCUUCUGCUUCCUGGCGUUUCACCCCCUAGGGCUUAAUGUCAUUAAAAUUGCUGAAAAUACUGCAAAUAACAAGCGUAGCAGCACUUUCCAAAGACUGAUAAGGUUGUCUGCCAGCUUUUACAGAUCAGAGUGAAAUUUCGGCCCCAUGAAGUCAGUGCUAACAGCGUGCUAACUUCAAGAAGGUAAGAAUUUUACUUUUCAUAUUUAUCAUUCUGUUAGAGCACGCCAUUGC